rnacentral:rRNA from 1 species
UACGGAGGGUGCAAGCGUCGUUCGGAAUCAUUGGGCGUAAAGCGCGUGUAGGUGGCUUGGCAAGUCGGUUGUGAAAUCCCGGGGCCCAACCCCGGAACUGCAUUCGAAACUGCCUCGCUAGAGUCCCGGAGAGGAAGGCGGAAUUCCCGGUGUAGAGGUGAAAUUCGUAGAUAUCGGGAGGAACACCAGCGGCGAAGGCGGCCUUCUGGACGGUGACUGACACUGAGACGCGAAAGCGUGGGGAGCAAACAGG